rnacentral:rRNA from 1 species
GACGGGGGGGCAAGUGUUCUUCGGAAUGACUGGGCGUAAAGGGCACGUAGGCGGUUGAAUCGGGUUGAAAGUGAAAGUCGCCAAAAAGUGGCGGAAUGCUCUCGAAACCAAUUCACUUGAGUGAGACAGAGGAGAGUGGAAUUUCGUGUGCAGGGGUGAAAUCCGAUAAUAUACGAAGGAACGCCAAAAGCGAAGGACCAGCUCGUCUGGGUCCCUACCGACGCUGGGGUGCGAAAGCAUGGGGAGCGAACAGG